UUAUAAUAUUAUAUAAUAUUAAUAUAAUAUUAAUGUGAAACUAAGAUUCUGUGUUAUAUUGAAGUUGACUUUGGUGCAUCUUUCAUAGUGUCCACAUUUAGAGAAUCCCAGAGUAAAAUCCUAUGGCCUUGUGAGAAUUAUCAGUAGAAGCAAAGUCAGAAGGUCUGGAAUGAGCCAAAAUGUCUGCAGUAUUGCUGUGCCUCUAUUUGCAGCAGAAUCUCCUGCAAGGAGGAAAUGGAUGGUUUUGACAACCACCAUUGUAUUCUUGCUUGACUUCCCUUUGGGUGGAAAAGUUAAUGCCCAGAACAACUGACACAAGGCCGGCAGAGGAAGGAAGAAAACAACACAGAAAGGCCAGAUGACUUACCCAUUGAUCUUCCAAGCUUAAAUGACCAAAAUUUGAUUGCAACUGAACCAUUAACAUCCUAAUAUUCUGCAGAAGUACUGAGUGCUCUGUUAAAGAUUCAAAAAGAAUUAUAGCAAAGGAGAAAAACUGUCUAGCCCAAAUCCAUUAUUUCUAAGCAUUUUUCAACUAGGAUGCUUCCUGGAGGGCUAUUCAUUUUCACUUAAAACCGUGUUUUCUUCUGCAAUUCCAUUUUCAAUUUUCAGGCCAAAAGUAGGAUCAAUCACCACUAUCAACAAAGACAACCACAACAAUGGCACCUAAACCCGUUGAGCGCCCUCUAUCCCUACCAGAUUUAUCCAGUGGAAUAAUUGGCAAUUAACAUAGGUGGCGCUAUGCUUCCCUUGAAAAGAG